rnacentral:lncRNA from 1 species
GUUGGUAGGCUAUUUAUUACGGCCGCAACUUCAGAACUCAUUAUUGGUCUAUUCAGGGAUUCACUUUCUUCCUGGUUCAGUCCUAGGAGGUUGUAUGUGCCCAGGAAAAUAUCCGUUUCUUCUUUAUUUUCUAGUUUAUGUGUAUAGAGGUAUUUAUAGUAUUCUCUGAUGGUUUGUUGUAUUUCUAUGUGGUCAGUGGUGUUAUUUUCCUUAUCAUUUCUGAUUGUGUUUACUUGAUAAUCUUCUCUCUUUUUUUCUUUAUUAGUCUAGGUAGAAUUCUAUUUUAUUAUUUAAAAAAAAAUCCAUCUCCUGGAUUUGUUUUUUGAAGGUUUCUUUUUGUGUCUCUAUCUCUUUCAGUUCCACUCUGAUCUUGCAUAUUUCUUAUCUGCUACUAAAUUUGGCAUGUUUGUUCUUGGUUCUCUAGUUCUUUUUGUUGUGAUGUUAGGUUGCUAACUUGAGGUCUUUCUAGCAUUUUGAUGUGGGCAUUUAGUGCUAUAAAUUUCCCUCUUAACACUGCUUUAGCUGCAUCCCAGAGAUUCUGGCACAUUUUAUCUUCGUUCUCAUUUGUUUAAAGAACUUCUUGAUUUCUUUCUGCCAAGUCUGACUGGCAGACCCUGGCCAAGCAAUGGAUGAAAAAAUUUAUGCAGACACAGGUUUUUUGCCUGGCCGUGUGGCUAGGGGACCAGGCCACCCACAGACACUGAGGAGGGUGCCAUAAAGAGUCCCAGCAGCCAUGGCCCUGACAAGCCAGUGCUGCGGGGAUUUAUUUAGCACAGGUUUAAUGACAAAGGCUUUGAGUCAACGUACUUGUGGGUAAUUAACAUGGUCACCUCCCUGGAGAGAGCAGCACUGCACACAAAUGAUUAAAGGCCAGGUUCCAAGGCCUAAGUAAAGUAACUUAUCUAGAUCAAUUCCUUUACACUUCCUUGUUAUCUACCUCUUGCUCUCAGGCUCUGGAUAAGAGAAUUUGGCUGCCUUCAGUCAAAUUAUCUUUCAAAGCUUUUGCAAAACCUGGCCUUCCAAGAAGGUUUGUGUUUUUCCUAUAAUUUCUCCCACCACCCUGAAUGAUCUCCUACAUCUUCCCCUUUUCUUUUUUUUUUUUUUUUUUUUUUUGCAUCAGGAAUUUUGUUGAUUGAAGAGUACAGAUGUGUGCAGCAAUGUAACUAUGAAUCUUUUGUGUCCGACCUGGGACAGGGCACGUUCUAAGGUGGUAAGAGCAGAGGAGCCUUGCCAAUCGCAUGUCAAAUUGACUGGCAGGAAUGCCUUAGAUUGUCUCCUUAAUACCAUGACACUUGCAAUUUAAAUUAGAUAUAUUGUAAUUAGUGAUACAAGAGGCGAACCAAGCCUGUCCCUGCACUCAGGUCACAAACGUGGAGUUUUGGGAUGUAAUGGAAAUAUUGGUUCCCAUAAGGAAAACAUAUGGUUGGGUAGUGCAAAUCAGGCACUGAUCAGUGUGAUUAUGAAAAAAUGUCAUAGUGUAAUUGUGACUGGAAUUAUAUGUCCCAUGCCAGGUGUUAAGGGAGGUGCUAAGAUGUCCCAGGCACCAUAAAGUGUCUUGGGGUGGCAUGGACUCUACUUGGGGUCUGGGAUACCCCAUUACCCUAUCGGCCCAAAUUAUAGGGGAGCAGGACGUGGCUACGAAACUGUCAUUGAUGCCAUGAUAGACGCGGACAUCAGUAUGAUCACCCUGAAAUGGCUGUGGGAGCUCCAGUCUAAGAUGUUAUAAUUGCCUAACUGGAGGCUACGGGCUUGUCCCCCAAGACAGACCUCCCAGCCAAAGUGGAAUCCAUUACUUUCUUGGCUUUGUUCUUUAGCACAGGGAGGAAUGCUGGGGAAAGUAGCAUUGGUGGCAUUGCCCAGUUUGAGGCUACCUGCAACUAAGACUGUUAAGGCAUUUCCUUUACCAUGAUGUAGCCAUAAUUGUGUUUGGGCAGGUACACAGUAAGGGUUAGAACUUUUAUAAUUUACACACAGUAGGAGGAUAGUGGAGUGAUAUGUAGUGUUACCUGGCACCUUAGUCCAAUGUGUGCCAUUAAUGAGGGACCCCACUGGGGGUAAAUCUAUUCCUCCUAGCCAAGCAGUUACAUUAUUAGAGGCUGGAAAGGGGGUGUCUGCCCAGGUGACAGGGCGGAAGAAAGGCGGAUGCAAGGUAUGAGCCCAAUAGAGUGUAGCAGGUACAGGUUGCAGACAAAGCAAGAGCAUAAAAAGGAUUAAUACCCUACGCGAGUUGCAGUGUACAACAGAGAGCAUAGCAAGGAACAGAUUAUCUGGAGUGAAUGGUGUCUUGUGUCCAGAGCAGAAUUUGCUCAGCCUCCAGAGUUGUCUUCUUCAGCAUCCCCCAGAUAAUGUCCAGGGCUUGUGUCGUCCAAGGGAGCUGCAUCGUCUGGGUCUGCAGAUCCUGCAGGGUCAUUUUCUUCAUUUCUGGUACCGGGUUGGGUCCUAGCCACGCCAUGGUAUGGUUUGAUGCAUCGUGCUGGAAUCCAAAGAGGACCUGAGGGGGUAUGAACACAAGCAUAUCCUCUUCCCCACAUUAACAAAUUAUUUGGACCACACCAUACAUUACUGUUUAUGUCUUUCCAUAAAACGGUGGGCUUUAUGUCUUGAGAGGUUUUAGCAAAGUGCUUUUCUACAGCUGAUUGAAAUUUAUCAUUUAAAUUUAAGAAAUCAAGGGUAAAUAAGGCUUGUGCUAGUGGUGUUGCAGGGUCCUUACUCAUAGUCCUCCUUUUUUGUUUUUUGAGCAUAUUUUUAAGGGUGGCGUGGGUACGUUCUACUAUGGCCUGUCCUUGGGGGUUAUACAGGAUGCUUGUGGAAUGUUGGAUGUUCCAUGUGUGACAAAAUUGUUGAAAUUGUGAGCUGGCAUAAGCCAUACCAUUGUCAGUUUUAAUUUUUGUGGGCCGCCCCAUAAAGGCAAAAGUUAAAAGAAGAUGUUUAAUGACGUGUCAGGUGGACUCUCCAGGAAAGGCAUGAGUGCUAAUUAAGUGAGAAUCAUUAUCAACAGAUACAUGAACAUAUCUUAGUUUUCAAAUUCAGGGAUGUGUGUAACAUCUGUUUGCCAUAACUAAUUAGGUUCUAGUCCUCUAGGGUUAACACCUCUUGAAGGAGGGGACAUGCCUGUGAGCUGGCAAUCUGGGCAUUGCAGGAUAAUUUAUUUAGCUAGUCUCUGGGUAAGUUGAAAUUGUUAAGUUUCUCCAAUUUUGGUGGAAAAAUUGAUGCAAUUGGGUGGCUUGAUCAAACAAUGAUGUCAUAACUUGUAAGUCUGCUUGAUCAUUGCCAUUAGCCAAUGGGCCAGGCAGUGAGCUGUGGGCUCAAAUAUGUGAUAUUUGGAUGUGUACAUUGAUCUAGCAGUUGCUGAAGUCGAAGAAAAAGUGCACACAGGGUGGGCUCCAGAGUGGACUUCAUGAGGGCUGUUUCAAGGUUCUGCAGUAAAUAAACAGAAUAAGCAGAGUCACUAACAAUAUUGAUGGGCUGAGCAGAAAAAGUUUCCAGGGCUCCAACUUCAGCUCUGAGUGCUAGUAAAUCCAGAAUGAGUGAGGGAAUUAUGCGGUCUCCACCAAACAGCCACUUUUCCAUGUUUACCAGAGUCAUUCGUAAACAGUGUUAAAGCGUUAGGUAUGGGGGAGUGAAAUAUUUUUGUAGGCAAAACCACAGAAGUAUGCUAGAUGAUGAGUUAGUGGGUUCAGCGCACCAGCAUGGCACAUGUAUACAUAUGUAACUAACCUGCACACUGUGCACAUGUACCCUAAAACUUAAAGUAUAAUAAUAAAAAAA